UACAGAGGGUGCAAGCGUUGUUCGGAAUUAUUGGGCGUAAAGCGCGUGUAGGCGGCUUUGCAAGUCGGGUGUGAAAGCCCUCAGCUCAACUGAGGAAGUGCGCCCGAAACUGCAGAGCUUGAGUACCGGAGAGGGUGGCGGAAUUCCCCAAGUAGAGGUGAAAUUCGUAGAUAUGGGGAGGAACACCGGUGGCGAAGGCGGCCACGUGGACGGUCACUGACGCUGAGACGCGAAAGCGUGGGGAGCAAACAGG
rnacentral:rRNA from 1 species